rnacentral:rRNA from 1 species
AGUACCCGGAGGAAGAGAAAACAAUAGUGAUUCCCCUAGUAGUGGCGAGCGAACGGGGAAUAGCCCAAACCAUUGAUGUUUCGGCAUUAAUGGGGUUGUAGGACCGCGAUCUAGAAUGCUCAACGAAGAAAAAUGAACUGGAAAGUUCAACCAUAGAAGGUGAUAGUCCUGUAUUCGUAUGUUAGAGUUAUUUUUAGCGGUAUCCUGAGUAGCGCGGGACAUGUGAAAUCCUGUGUGAAUCUGUCAGAACCAUCUGAUAAGGCUAAAUACUCCUAAAAGAUCGAUAGUGCACUAGUACCGUGAGGGAAAGGUGAAAAGUACCCUGAAUAAGGGAGUGAAAUAGUACCUGAAACCGUACGCUUACAAGCGGUUGGAGUCCCGAUUUAUCGGGAUGACAGCGUGCCUUUUGCAUAAUGAGCCUACGAGUUACUCCUCACUAGCGAGGUUAAGGACUUUGAAGUCCGCAGCCGAAGCGAAAGCAAGUCUGAAUAGGGCGUUUAGUUAGUGGGGGUAGACGCGAAACCUUGUGAUCUACCCAUGGCCAGGUUGAAGCUCUGGUAACACAGAGUGGAGGACCGAACCGGUUGACGUUGAAAAGUCUUCGGAUGAGCUGUGGGUAGGGGUGAAAGGCUAAUCAAACUGGGAAAUAGCUCGUUCUCCCCGAAAUGCAUUUAGGUGCAGCCUUGGAGUUGAGUUUACUAGAGGUAGAGCGACUGGUUGGAUGCGGGGGCUUCAUCGCCUACCAAAUCCUGUCAAACUCCGAAUGCUAGUAAAUAUAUCCAGGAGUGAGGGCAUGGGUGCUAAGGUCCAUGUCCGAGAGGGAAAGAACCCAGACCAUCUGCUAAGGUCCCCAAAUGUAUGCUAAGUUGAUCAAACGUGGUCUGAUUGCUUUGACAGCUAGGAUGUUGGCUUGGAAGCAGCCAUUCAUUUAAAGAGUGCGUAACAGCUCACUAGUCGAGCGAUCGGGCGUGGAUAAUAAUCGGGCAUUAAGCAUACUACCGAAGCAAUGGCAUCGAAAGAUGGGUAGGGGAGCAUUCUAAGGGCGUAGAAGGUGUACUGUGAGGUAUGCUGGAGCGCUUAGAAAAGAAAAUGUAGGCAUAAGUAACGAUAAAGCAGGCGAGAAACCUGCUCACCGAUAGACUAAGGUUUCCUGAACAACGCUAAUCGGUUCAGGGUUAGUCGGGGCCUAAGGCGAACCCGAAUGGGGUAGUCGAUGGACAAUUGGUUAAUAUUCCAAUACUUGUAUUUAUUGCGAUGGGGUGACGGAGUAGUGAAAGUCCUGCGUACUGACGGAAUAGUACGUUGAAACUUGUAGGUAUAAGAUUUGUAGGUAAAUCCGCUUAUCUUGCCGAAAGUGAUAGUACUCUAAGUCUUCGGACGAGGAGAUAUGGACCUAAUCAGACUUCCAAGAAAAACCUCUAAGCUUCAGAUAAAUACAACCCGUACCGCAAUCCGACACAGGUAGUCAAGGAGAGAAUCCUAAGGUGCUCGAGUGAUUCAUGGCUAAGGAACUAGGCAAAAUGGCCUCGUAACUUCGGGAGAAGAGGCGCCCCGGUGUAAGAACCGGGGCCGCAGUGAAAAGAUCCAAGCGACUGUUUAUCAAAAACACAGGGCUCUGCGAAGCCGCAAGGCGACGUAUAGGGUCUGACGCCUGCCCGGUGCUGGAAGGUU